rnacentral:pre_miRNA from 1 species
ACACAAACUAUUCUGCAAAUAUUUUACAAAUUGCUGAUGUGGCAUUCUCCACCUCAGCUUUUUAUGUGGGGCCAAAGACUACAUUGCAACAAUUUGUUGAUCAAUAUGUUGAGGGUGUAGUAUGUCACAUCAGUAAAAUGUUUGUAGAAUAAUUUGUGU